rnacentral:misc_RNA from 1 species
UAUUAAACUGAGAUUCCUAACUCUAUCAGGGAGAAGGUCUCCCCAUCCCCGCCCCACAUAAUAUUGAGGCGGGACGGGUCAAGAAAAAUUGAUCGGGUUCAGGGCAGGUCAGGAAAAAUUAAUCAGGUUCAAGGUGGGUCACAUCAGGUUCGGGAACCAUUGCCAUCCCUAACCUCAAUAGUUAAUAGCAGCCCCCACCACUUGAAAUUAUUGUCAGCAUAAUUGAACUCCAGGCAUCACUAGAGCUGGGGAACUCUUAAGAGUAUGAAAUUGGAUUGUUGGAUAUUCAGUUAUCAUUGGGUUUGCAACAAGACAUAGCUGUGCUCGGUCUGAGCAAGGGUUUGACAAUUUGGCUAAGUAAGGGUUUCGCAAUUUGGCUUUGGCAUGGAAGAGAGGUUGUAGAAGGUUGACUAUAAAUGCUGAUUCAAAUAAGUCCAUUAUUCUCAUUGUCAACACUGAUUUAUCUUCCAUCAACUAAUGAAUUCAAUUGCAUAAUGCAGGGACUCCUUAGCAGAAGUUAGACAUGCAAGAUAACAAGUCUACAUAAUAGAGAAAAAUUUUUGGGUAGAUUAUUUAACUAAGUAGGGAUAUUCUUGUAAACAAGGGUUGAUUGUUUGGGUUCAACCUUCUGGAUACUUGAGUUAGCUGCUAGAUACAGAUGUAGCAGGUUGCAGGCUUUGUCAGGUAAUUGUUUUUCUGUAUUUGGAGUAGCAUGAAAAGAAUUUAUGAAACAAACUAAUCAAAUUAAAUAAUAAAUAAACACAUUACCCAUAUACACCCAAUCAUUCUUGAAGCAAAAUGUCAUAUCAUUAACUAAGCUCAUUUUCAAUUUUGACAAUGUAAUAACCUUGCCCUUGGUUAGGCUAUAAGCGCAUAAGAUGUUCCAAGUUCGGCAAGUGUGAGUUCUCGAGUUGUAAGGCUUUAGACUUAACUUGGUGACCUCCCACCCUGUUGACAUAUGUUUGGCUUAAGUUGAGACUGAGUUAAGGUUGUAAUGCAGAAUGGGAAGACGAAGAUCUUGAUACAAUUUAGGAACUAUUUUCAUUGUAAAAUUAGGAAA